rnacentral:rRNA from 1 species
GUAAAAGUCGUAACAAGGUUUCCGUAGGUGAACCUGCGGAAGGAUCAUUAAUGAGUUAGGGUCUAACAGGCCCGACCUCCAACCCUUUGUUGUUAAAACACCUUGUUGCUUUGGCGUGGACGCCGGCCUAUGGCCGGCUGCUGGUCUUCGGCCCGGCAAGUGCCCGCCAGAGGUAAACCAAACUCUUGUCUUUAACCAGUCGUCUGAGUAAAUUUUUAAAUAAAUUAAAACUUUCAACAACGGAUCUCUUGGUUCUGGCAUCGAUGAAGAACGCAGCGAAAUGCGAUAAGUAAUGUGAAUUGCAGAAUUCAGUGAAUCAUCGAAUCUUUGAACGCACAUUGCGCCCUCUGGUAUUCCGGGGGGCAUGCCUGUUCGAGCGUCAUUACACCACUCAAGCUCUGCUUGGUAUUAGGCCAUCGCCCGCCCUCUGCGACGGACGUGCCUCAAAAACAUCGGCGAAGUCUCACCGGCUUUGGGCGAAGUAGAAUUUCAUCCAAACGCUCUACGAGUCUGGUAAGUCUUUUGCCGUAAUGACAAAAAUCUUUUUCAAGGUUGACCUCGGAUCAGGUAGGGAUACCCGCUGAACUUAAG